rnacentral:misc_RNA from 1 species
AUGAGAGUUUGUACACCCGAAGCCGGUGGCGUAACCCUUUUAGGGAGCGAGCCGUCUAAGGUGGGACAAAUGAUUAGGGUGAAGUCGUAACAAGGUAGCCGUAGGAGAACCUGCGGCUGGAUCACCUCCUUUCUAAGGAAACAGACUGAAAGUCUGACGGAAACCUGCACACACGAAACUUUGUUUAGUUUUGAGGGGAUCACCCUCAAGCACCCUAACGGGUGCGACUUUGUUCUUUGAAAACUGGAUAUCAUUGUAUUAAUUGUUUUAAAUUGCCGAGAACACAGCGUAUUUGUAUGAGUUUCUGAAAAAGAAAUUCGCAUCGCAUAACCGCUGACGCAAGUCAGUACAGGUUAAGUUACAAAGGGCGCACGGUGGAUGCCUUGGCACUAGGAGCCGAUGAAGGACGGAACUAAUACCGAUAUGCUUCGGGGAGCUAUAAGUAAGCUUUGAUCCGGAGAUUUCCGAAUGGGGGAACCCAGUACACAUCAGUGUAUUGCUUGUCAGUGAAUACAUAGCUGGCCGGCGGCAGACGCGGGGAACUGAAACAUCUCAGUACCCGCAGGAAGAGAAAGAAAACUCGAUUCCCAUAGUAGCGGCGAGCGAAGUGGGAAGAGCCCAAACCGAGAAGCUUGCUUCUCGGGGUUGUAGGACUGGACAUUGGAGUUACCAAAGUCCGACGUAGUCGAAGUCAGCUGGAAAGCUGCGCCACAGAAGGUGAAAGCCCUGUAAGCGAAACGUCGAACCCUCCGUCCAGGAUCCUGAGUACGGCGGAACACGUGAAAUUCCGUCGGAAUCCGGGAGGACCAUCUCCCAAGGCUAAAUACUCCCUAGUGACCGAUAGUGAACCAGUACCGUGAGGAAAAAGGCG